rnacentral:lncRNA from 1 species
GACACACACAGCGGUGAGCCACCUCGUGUGGUGCAGUCCUGUGGAGCCCCUGGUCUGUCUGCUGUACCACCCGGGGCUGUGGGCUGGACCACUGCAGACAAGUGGCUCCCCUUGGCACCCUCGGGGCUGGGCCUGGCAUGGGGACUCACCAAGAGACCCGCAGCUGCUGGACAUGGGCCACAGGGCCUGUGCUGCCCCGGCCGACAUGGGAGCACGGCCACAGUGCAGAGAGGACACAGAAAGAAACCACCUGGGCUCAGAGAUCCCGGAAGAGCAGCCCCAGUCCCAUGGCUCUGCGCUCCUCCAUGGUCAUGGAGAGGUGCUGAUGCUCCUGGUCAUAAGGAGGAAGUACCUGCGGUGCUGGCGCCUCGAGGUUCGGCUUCACAGGUUCCAGGCUUCCCAGAAUGCCAGGCGCCUGGCAGUGAUUUGGAGGAGCUGGGCAGAUGCUCGAAGGGGGCAGCAGCUGUCUCGGGCCCUGCUCAGGCAGUGGCACCUGGGACAGGCCUGGAGGAUAUGGCGGCGGCGGGUCCUGCAGCUGCGGGUAGCUGUGAGGCUACAGCAGCAAGAAGGUGCCUGGGUCCUCUCCCAGGUACCAGCCAGGGCCACCUCACUUCACCCAGUCAGCCCUCCCCAAACCAGUACCAGCUCUGGUCAUGGCUGGGCUGAGGGUCUUCCCUGCUUGCCACGCCCGGGGGCCCCUUCAUUUGUAGGGAAGAGGGGUGGGGUUGAGUGUAGAACAUACAGCCUAGAGGCUAGAGCCCGGGAUUGGACUAGUGGCCACAAGCUCAGCUGUGUUGAGGUCACUCACUUGGGAACAGUGAGGCUUGGCCUGUGGCACCCGCCUCCUCACUUGCUGCUGUCUGAGGGCUUCCAGGUCAUUGUCCAGUCUAUUCUGAGCCUGUGCAUUUGGCCUGGGGCAGGAUGGGCUGGCUGCCUGAGGCAGAUGCAGGGGACAUCGAUGGGGACAGAAAGAGCCAGUACAGGUGUCACUCUGGCAGGCAUAGCACAGGCCCCAGAGGGAGUCUGAGACAAACAGUCCUUCCUCUACUCUGAUUCCAGGCCUUUGAAAAGUGGCAUCAGUGCUUGGUGGCCAGACGCCAAAGGAGGAGCGCCACCAGCAGCCUGAGUCCCCUGACAGGCCAGGCACCAGGGCCUUGAGAGCAUGCUGGAAGCUGCCCAGUCCCUGGUGUGGCGGGCUUGGACCAGAACAGGGGUCCAACCUGCUGCGAGGCAUUCCCACAGAAUAAGAAGCAGAGGAGAGCCUGGCCUUCCCAGGGAGGGGCAGUGCCCCCCACACCCGGAAUAUCGACAGCUCAGGGAGCUCUGAAGUACAAUAAAGGCCUCCGUGGUCUCCGAUGCUGCUCUUGC